rnacentral:lncRNA from 1 species
ACAGAAAAGACAUCUGAGAAAGAAAACUAGCAAAUUUAUCUUCCACUUUUGCAUGUGCAAAAAUUGUCUCAACAACUAGUAGUGAAAAAGUGUUGUGAUAGAAAGGACCUCUUUAUAUAUUCAGGACUUACUUGUGCACAAAAGUAUGAGAGAAUGUGGAUCAAACAAGACAAAUUAGGGUAAAAAAACUUUAAAAUUCAUCACAAAUAAGUUAAAGUAGAGUUUCAGUGAAAUUUGUGAAAAUUACAAAACUGCUUGUAUUGAGGAAGAGCAACUACAUAAUAACUCUACAGGAAGAACAAACUUAAGUAAAUACCCUCUAAUUUGACAAAUGAUUCACCUGAUUGUUAGGAAAGUGAUGCAUCUGGCAUGUCUGUCUCUGUAGUAGUCCAGAUAUUUCCUGAACAAAAAUAACCCAGUCUCAAAAAUGCCUUUCUUUCUCAUUCAUACUCUGGGUCUCCAGAAUAUGCUUGCCAGUCACCUUCGGAGCUUUAUUUAAAUAGAAAUAAAGUAGACUGUGAAAAUGACAACAAACCAGAUACUGAACAUGUUUUUAACUCAGACAAGGAAAAUUUUUAUAAUGAUACUGAAAGUACAAAAGCAAGAAACCCAGAAGUAGUUAUGGAUGAAAUAAAAGAAGUCAAAUAGGUUGUGAGGCAAAUGACAAAAAACCAAAACACCGCUAACUGGAAAUUAAACAUCGGACAUAUGCCUCAAUUUAGUGAUUCAAAAAGCCUUUUAGGUAUGUGGCUUACCUGCUCCAAAGAAAUGAAGCAUGUGAUUUAAAAAAAAAAAAAAAGAUGAUGGUGUUUCUGUUGUUACAAACACAACAGUACAAAACCAAUACAGAAUGUGUUCCAGAAGCCGUUAUGUGACAACUGUAGUGCAAAUAAAUAUGAAAGCAUAAAACUUGAAUUAGAAAAUGUGCAUUAUUCUCCACCACAUGGUGACAGAACAUCAGCAGUAUGUCUAGAAGUGGAAUUAAGUGAUAUAUGCAAAGAUUUAAGAAUGAGGUAAGCAUAUUACAA